GACGAGGGGUCCAAGCGUUGUUCGGAAUCAUUGGGCGUAAAGCGGGUGUAGGUGGCUCUAUAAGUCAGAAGUGAAAGCCCCGGGCUUAACCCGGGAAGUGCUUUUGAUACUGCAGAGCUUGAAUGUGGGAGAGGGUACUGGAAUUCCUGGUGUAGCGGUGAAAUGCGUAGAUAUCAGGAGGAAUACCUAUGGCGAAAGCAGGUAUCUGGGCCACAACUGACGCUGAGCUGCGAAAGCUAGGGGAGCAAACAGG
rnacentral:rRNA from 1 species